rnacentral:ncRNA from 2 species
AACAGUGUAGAUUGUUUGCGUAAAGUGGUUAGGCAAAGAACGUUUGACUAACACGAAGAGAGACUUAGAUCUUUCGCGGUGAAUAAUUGCGUUCCUGUU